GACGAACGCUGGCGGCGUGCUUAACACAUGCAAGUCGAACGGAAAGGCCCUGCUUUUGUGGGGUGCUCGAGUGGCGAACGGGUGAGUAACACGUGAGUAACCUGCCCUUGACUUUGGGAUAACUUCAGGAAACUGGGGCUAAUACCGGAUAGGAGCUCCUGCUGCAUGGUGGGGGUUGGAAAGUUUCGGCGGUUGGGGAUGGACUCGCGGCUUAUCAGCUUGUUGGUGGGGUAGUGGCUUACCAAGGCUUUGACGGGUAGCCGGCCUGAGAGGGUGACCGGCCAAAGUGGGAUAGGGAAACGGCCAAGACCCAAAGGGGGGGAAGGGGGGGGGAAAUUGGGAAAAGGGGCGGAAGCCGGAGGGAGCAACGCCGGGGGGGGGAAGACGGCCUUGGGGUGGGAAACCGGUUUGCCGUGGGACGAAGCGGGAGGAAGGGUAAUGGGAAAAGAAGCACCGGUAAACAAGGG
rnacentral:rRNA from 1 species